rnacentral:rRNA from 1 species
GAUGAACGCUGGCGGCGUGCCUAAUACAUGCAAGUCGAGCGAAUGGAUUAAGAGCUUGCUCUUAUGAAGUUAGCGGCGGACGGGUGAGUAACACGUGGGUAACCUGCACAUAAGACUGGGAUAACUCCGGGAAACCGGGGCUAAUACCGGAUAACAUUUUGAACCGCAUGGUUCGAAAUUGAAAGGCGGCUUCGGCUGUCACUUAUGGAUGGACCCGCGUCGCAUUAGCUAGUUGGUGAGGUAACGGCUCACCAAGGCAACGAUGCGUAGCCGACCUGAGAGAGUGAUCGGCCACACUGGGACUGAGACACGGCCCAGACUCCUACGGGAGGCAGCAGUAGGGAAUCUUCCGCAAUGGACGAAAGUCUGACGGAGCAACGCCGCGUGAGUGAUGAAGGCUUUCGGGUCGUAAAACUCUGUUGUUAGGGAAGAACAAGUGCUAGUUGAAUAAGCUGACACCUUGACGGUACCUAACCAGAAAGCCACGGCUAACUACGUGCCAGCCGCCGCCGUAA